rnacentral:rRNA from 1 species
CCUACGGGUGGCAGCAGUGGGGAAUAUUGCACAAUGGGCGCAAGCCUGAUGCAGCCAUGCCGCGUGCGUGAAGAAGGCCUUCGGGUUGUAAAGCACUUUCAGCGGGGAGGAAGGCGUUAAGGUUAAUAACCUUGGCGAUUGACGUUACCCGCAGAAGAAGCACCGGCUAACUCCGUGCCAGCAGCCGCGGUAAUACGGAGGGUGCAAGCGUUAAUCGGAAUUACUGGGCGUAAAGCGCACGCAGGCGGUCUGUCAAGUCGGAUGUGAAAUCCCCGGGCUCAACCUGGGAACUGCAUUCGAAACUGGCAGGCUAGAGGCUUGUAGAGGGGGGUAGAAUUCCAGGUGUAGCGGUGAAAUGCGUAGAGAUCUGGAGGAAUACCGGUGGCGAAGGCGGCCCCCUGGACAAAGACUGACGCUCAGGUGCGAAAGCGUGGGGAGCAAACAGGAUUAGAUACCCUUGUAGUC